AGAAUCAACGCUGGCGGCGUGCCUAACACAUGCAAGUCGAACGCGGUUAUUUCAGCUCCGCAAGGAGUUGGGAUAACUGAGUGGCGAACGGGUGAGUAACACGUGGGUGAUCUACCUUCGAGCGGGGAUAACGUCCGAAAGGAACGCUAAUACCGCAUGACGUUCCGGGUUUAAAGACCUGGAAACCAAAGCUGGGACCGCAAGGCCUGGCACUUGGAGAGGAGCCCGCGUCCGAUUAGCUAGUUGGCGGGGUAAUGGCCCACCAAGGCGACGAUCGGUA
rnacentral:rRNA from 1 species